GCGCCCGGCCUGGAUGUUAGUGCUGAGUGUUGCCUCCCAGAUAGUGAAGUCGCAAUCACCUAAGAUGGAAGCCUUGGGUCUGCCUGGGUCCCUGCUGCCGCUGUGGUCACUCUCCCCGCCCCUGCCCGUGCUGCAGCCCUCAGCCCCGACCUCACCCUCAUGAACUGCUCUGACGUGAAGGAUCACUUGGUCAACAUGCUGCUGAAUAGUGGAAAGUGUGACGGUGGUGGCGGACAAGAUCGCUGGCCCUUUCCACCUUGGCCAUCCACCUCUACCACGAGUUGGCCCACCAAACACUCCACACCAAGGUUAACAAGGCCAUCAAUGUGCUCCAGGCAUACCUCAAGAGCCCAUCCAGCGCUGGGCCCGGCCACUGCAAGCCUUGUUGGGUCAAUGUGGGAAAUCAGCCAAGGUGGAGUUUGAGUCGGUCGGCCUCAACCAUGAGGGUGCGCAUGGAGUCAUUGUCAUGUUCCGUUGAUAACCUCCUAAUUGAUUCAUGUUGGUUGAUGUUUCACUCUGAUAUUGCAGUAAAUAUUUAGUUGUAUCAUUGUGCAUCAUCUGGAUAACCCCAAAGUGUUCCUAAGGUAUAAUGAUUGAAUGUUUUGACAAGAAUAUGAACAUUCACUCUUAGUUAGUAAGAAACUGUGUAUGU